AAAAAGGGAUUUCUUCGGAUCCGAAUUAAGUUACAAAAUCAAAAGAGGAUUGCCUCGAACCCGAAAUAGAAUUGAAAAGAAAAUCAAGUUCACAUACGAACUCAAAUCCGAAUCAAGUUCACAUACGAACCUAAAUCCAAACCCAAAGUCCAAAUAAAAAACCCAAAACCAAAUACAGUCCACAAAUAAAUCCAAACCCAAAGUCCAAAUAAAAAACCCAAAACCAAAUACAGUCUACAAAUAAAUCCAAACCCAAAGUCCAAAUAAAAAACCCAAAAGCAAAUACAGUCCACUAAUAAACCCAAACCCAAAAUCCAAAUCAAAUCCAAACCCAAACCCAAAUCAAGUCCACAUCCAAACCUAACCCAAACCAAGUCCACAUAAAGAACCCAAACCCAUUCUACAAAUAAAAUCCAAACCCAACCCAAACCAAGUCUAUAAAUAAAACCAAAAUCCAAACCGAAACCCGAACCCAAAACCAAAACCCAAACCCAAUUCAAAUCAAGUCCACAAUCCAAAUCCAAAACCCAAAUCCAACUUCCAACUUAGGCUCAUGAACCUAAACCAUACCUAAGUUCGUGAACCAAAUCCCAAAUCCUAUACCCAAAUUCAUGAAUCAAGUCUCAUGAACCAAAACUCAUAAACGAAGUUCAUGAACCAUAAACCAUAUCCAUGAACCUUAUCCAAGUUCGUGAACCAAACACUACGGAUCAUAAUCCAAGUUCAUGAAUCAAGGCCCAUGAACCAAAAUAAACCAAGUUCAUAAACCAUGAACCAAGUCCAUGAACCAUAUCCAAGUUUAUGAACUAAAUCUCAUAUACCCAACUUCGUAAACCAUAAACCAAGUUCAUGAAUCAUGAAUCAAGUCCAUAAACCAAGAUUCAUGAGCCAAGUUCAUAAACCUCACUCAUAAACUAAACCCAAGUUCAUAAACCAUAUUAUCCAAUAUACCCAACUUCAUAAACCAUAAACCAAGUUCAUGAAUUAUGAAUCAAGUCCAUAAAUCAAGAUUCAUAUACCAAACCUCAUGCACCAUAUCC
rnacentral:lncRNA from 1 species